rnacentral:rRNA from 1 species
ACUAAACGCUGGCGGCGUGCUUAACACAUGCAAGUCUAACGAGAAAGCGGUAGCAAUAUCGUGAGUAAAGUGGCGAACGGGUGAGUAACACGUAACCAAUCUGCCUUGAAGAGGAGGAAAAACUGAGGGAAACUUUAGCUAAUCCUCCAUAAUGUGGUGCCUAUCGCAUGAGAACAUCAUUAAAGAUUUACUCGCUUCGGGAAGAGGUUGCGUCUGAUUAGCUAGUUGGCGGGGUAAAGGCCCACCAAGGCGACGAUCAGUAGCUGGUCUGAGAGGAUGAUCAGCCACACUGGGACUGAGAUACGGCCCAGACUCCUACGGGAGGCAGCAGUGAGGAAUAUUGCGCAAUGGGCGAAAGCCUGACGCAGCAACGCCGCGUGUAGGAUGAAGUCUUUCGGGACGUAAACUACUGUUAGAGGGGAAGAAACUCCGGUUACGCCGGGGUGACGGUACCCUCAGAGAAAGCCACGGCUAACUCUGUG